AGAAUGAACGCUGGCGGCGUGCUUAACACAUGCAAGUCGUGCGCGAAGGUGGCUUCGGCCACCGGAGAGCGGCGAACGGGUGAGUAACACGUGGGUGAUCUGCCUGGAAGCGGGGGAUAACCGUGGGGAAACUCGGGCUAACACCGCAUACGUUGACGAGGGUUACGGCCUUAUACAAGAAAACCGGCCUCUACUUGUAAGCUGGUGCUUCCAGAGGACGCCGCGGCUGAUUAGCUAGUUGGUGAGGUAUGGCUCACGAAGGCGACGAUCAGUAGCCGGCCUGAGAGGGUGAGUCGGCCACACGUGGGACUGAGACCGACCGGCCCAGACCU
rnacentral:rRNA from 1 species